rnacentral:lncRNA from 1 species
AUGAUUUGCGUUUUUCUUCUAAAUGGGAAAUUCCUUGUGCAUGAAAGAUUUAUCUGCUGUUUGAAGCAGGUGUGGUUUUGCAUGAAACGGUUUUUCAGUCUAAAAGUUGGUUUUAAUUGGUUGCCCACAGGAUUGGCUUGGCUUCUGCUACUUGUUAAGAAAAAAACAUCUGUCUUUGCAGGUAAGAGCUUUUGAAUUGAAGACUUCUUUAUAUGAAUAUUGAAUAUAUCCUAAGAAACACAUGAAGCUUUUGGAAUCUGUGAAUUUGUGUCAAAAGACUCGGGUCAAAUAAUCUGUAGCUUGUCUACUCACCACUGGCGAUGGUUUUGGCAGUGUUUUUCUUAUAAACAGAAUUUUCUGCCAAACUAAUGUUUUGUUGUUUCAUCAGCAUGUGGUAGUCUGGAACACUCUCCCAUUUGUUUUGCACUGUUGAAAAAUGCAGUUGCUUUCCUGCAAGCCGCAGGUCCGUGUGUUUGUAACUGUUGGAGUGUAGAAGUGCACACCAAUUGGUUCUAAUUAGGUUUUGCAGCACUUAAAGGGAUCAGAUAGUUUCAAAUUGGCUCCAAGAUGACUGUAACAGGUUGCUUUUAGCCUUAAAAAAGUAAAAGACAAAAAUUGUAGUUUCCAGUUUUAACUUUUGCAAGACAGUCUCGUACUUAAAAUUCCUCCUCCAGUACCAGUGUUUCUGCAGUUCUUAGUCUUCACCCAAGAAUUGCCAAAUAUAUAUAUAUGUGUCUCUGUGUGUGUGUGUCAUGUGGAUAUUGUAUUUUAAUACUCCCCAGGGGCUAGGAUGAAUCUUCUGAACUUUUCUGUUGUAAAAUCCAUGCAACUUUAAAGGCCAGCCUGAUGUACUUAUGAAUUUAUAUGUAUGACCCAAAUUAUUCUUAUUUUACUAACUAGCACAUUGAUGAGAUAAAUAGUAUUGUCAUCUUGUACACCUUUUUUUUCCAGUGUAACAGCAACAUCUUAAAAGAUAUUACUAUCAAGACACGUUAAAAAUUCAUCAAAUGAGCAGAAUCGGGUUGAUUGUCAGCAGCCUGUAAAUCUCCAGCUUUGAUCGUGACUUGCUAAUGGGGAUGGAUUGUCCAUAGUGCACCCCUAGGAUGUUGUCUUUCCACAAGUACACGAAACACACAAAAUGGCAAGAAAACCCACUUUUGCCUUGAAGUACCUUUUUGUACCAGCAGGCAGCCUGAGAACAAGUCUGACAGCCCAACAAAAAGCCUUCCAGUGCCUGCUGAGCUGGUGUGCGGCCUGUUUUGUGUCUGAAGUUCAUGUUGCCUCUGCAUGUGCUGGUCUUUGCAAGUGAACAGUGAAAUAUUUGAGCAAGCUUUGCAUUUUCAUUACUUGGAAAAUUUGAGCAAGUGGGUUGUAGUCUCCUAAGUGCAUUUUGCAAGAAAUGUUUGCGAGUGUCUAGAAAUUUAAAAUUUGGCGCUUUUGGUGCUGGAGAUUUUACCGUAAAUCACAGAACUGACACUACUCUUUUGUCUAAGCAUCGAAAUUCUGAAAAAUUGAAGCAGCUGGUUUACGUGUUCCUUUGUCAGAAAUGUUUGUUUAGUCAAGUCCUUAAAGUUCUUUUAAUUCAGACCAUGUUACUGUCAGCUCUUCCUUAAUAUUAAGCAAGCAUUUGCUGAAUACUGUGUGUGGAAUUAACUACACUGAAGUCGUUGCAAAUAGUUCUUCUAGUAACUAUAUGCCUGAGCAGCUCUUUGGAUUUUUUUGUCAAUAGUAAUUUAGUGGAUCUGAGUAGAGGCACUUAGUAACAAGGCUUCAAGUACACCCUUAGCAUUUAUUAUGAAGUUUUGAAUUUAAUGCAAAACUGAGUGAUUUGCAUUGUCCCAGAAGUUAUGUAUAUGUUCAAAUGCUUGAACUCUUCUGUGGCUUUAUCUAUUGAUUUAUCAUCUGGGCUGGAUUCAUGAAAUCAUUUAUAAAUGCAGUUAUCCAGCAGGUGUCAGUUCUGUUAAAAAAUGUUAGGUGUUCCAACCCAGCAGACCUUAGUCCACACACGUUUCCAAGUUGCCCUUGUUUAACCAUUGGCUAUAUCAGAUUGUCAUUCCUUUUGCAUUAAGGAAAUAGCUAAAAGUGCUCUCCCGUUUAACAGGAGAAACUUCACAUGUCUUAACUUCUGAUACAUAAAAAUUUCUGAAACUAAUUUCUAUUAUAGUAGGUAGUAGAAGAAAUCUAAAUCUGCUGGCAAGAUUUGCUUUGAGUAGUAUUCCAGUUCUGAAAGCAUAGAUGCUAAGCCAGGGAUACUUUUGUACCGCUUGCUUGCCUCAGGAUCAUCUCCUUCAAAAGCAAUUCUGUAGCACGAUAUAAACCUUGUGUUUACAAUGCUCUUUAAUGUAGCCUGUUUAAAGGAGACAGAAUUUUCAUUUUAACUUUAAUUUCACAGAUUGUCAUUAAUAUUAGGCAAAUUUAAAAUAAAACAACAGAACCAUUAUAAAACACUGCUUUUUAAAACAGUGCAAAAAGUCUUAGAUAUGUUGUUAGAUGUUUUGGAUAGUACGGGUAGUCCUUUCACUUGUGGCUUUUUUUCCCCUCAUAGACAAGUUAUUUUGUUGUUGGAAAAUGACUGGGCAAUGAAUUGUAUUUUCAGAUUAAAUGUAAUUCCAUUGUAAGAGCUAAAGGCAAGAACGUUGCUUCUGUUACCUCACCAUGGAGAUGAGAAAGUUACUUUCAAAAAAAUUGUUCUCAAAGCAUAGUAUAUAGCGUAAGCCUUUCUGUUGCUGUCUUUCCUUUGUGGAAUAGGGGUUUUCUUAGUGUUGUUUUUAGUUUUAUUAAAAUCUUCUUAUGUUAAGAGCUGCAAGUUCCAGUCUCUCUUGUAGGAUGGUGCAGUAAGGAGUCCAGUAUAUAUGCACAGUGACUAGAACAGCAGAGCUGAUGUGGUGCACAUGGGCUUGUUUGCUGAUUCCUUCAGGGAGAAAGGUCCUCCACACUUGUCUGGUGUCAGUUGUGGGGAAAUACCCUGUAAUACCCCAGAAUGUUGCUUAAGCUCAUUAGUGUGUUGAAGGGUUUAGCUCUGGUGUGUUGGUGAACAGAAACAAAAUACUUAAAGACUCAUUUUAGUAAUUCUAGGUUCCAUCAUGCAAACAAAAGAACUGUUGUUUUUUCACCCCACAGAAGAACUGUUAAUUUUUUUUUCAUUAAGGACUGAAUUCAGCCUUACCUGGUUAAAUUGUGGCUUUAUCUAGUCAUUCAGGACUUGUCUUUUCUAACGUAUUUGGAUGACCCGGACAAGCAAAUGGAGCCAGCUUAGAUAUUUGGCUGUAUGCAGGGGUAUAGCUGAAUUGCUGGGAGAUGGUUAUUGAUUGUAGUUGGUCAGAGCUUUGGUAAUGGUCAGGAGUGUUUGAUGCAUAGCUUUGUAGUGUUGCAUUGGGGCAUCUGAUUGGACUUGAUCUUUCAGGUCUUUUCCAGCCUAAACAGUUCUGUGAUUCUGUGAUCUGGUUCAUCCUUGAUUUCAAAUGCUGAGUUAGCACUACGGGUGACUUACAGGGGCCCUGGAGAUCUUCCACACAGAUACUGAACUGGCUUGUACUUAGGAAGUCAAAAAGUUUCAGAGAUGAAGUGGCUCAGGUGAAGCAUGGUGCUAUUGCUGAUGGUUUAGGAUGAGUGACUGGCUUCUGAACUGUUGAAUUGUGCUAAUAUUAUUUAAUAUGAUGCCUUUAUUGGAGGUUUGCAUAGGUGACAAGUGUCUAGUUUCCUCUUUAACUACUGAUACGACCCUCAGACUUCUGAGGUCACAAGGUAGCUGUUCAGAAUUACCUUAAGUAUCUACUAAUGCCAGCUGUGGAGAUAAUGUUAAUUUACUUAUGUCUGAGACAUAAAGGGUCAUGCUAGACAGAAUAUCUGCAACUAUGUAAAAAUAUCUUGUUUUUGAAAAUUGUAAAGGCCAUAUAUCUAGCUAGAUAUGCGUAGAUGUUAAUUUAAUUUAGGUGAGGUCUCUGUUGGCACAGAAUGUCUGGCACUAGUUUAUAAUAGCAAGCUUCAGGUCACCUGGACCUCUUGCCUUUGCUAGGAGAAAACCAUGAGGUCAGUAUAAUAUAGAUGUCCCUGUCAGGAUGUCUUGUGAGUCUCACAGUUGCUGACUGUCCGAAUGGGGUUUUGUUCUUAACCAACCCACUAUUAUGUUCCUAGUUGUCUUCACCUGGCAGGAGGUAACAUCCUUCCCCAGAUUAAAGGGAACUGUUUGUUUCCCAUAGCUGUGCAGAAUUUUUCAGUCACAUUGUCAGGUACAGUGGAUACCAUAUCGGUGUACAGUAAAUUAAUUUUGUUUUGUGUGGCUAAAAUACUUUUGCUUACAUUCUAUUAAAUAUUGAACUACUGCUGUAAUAGUUCUGAUUUUUGAUGUUCCUUUGUUUUUUUUUAACUGACACUUGUGGAUCUUAGUAUCACAGCUAUUUUGGAAUUUCUAGUGAAAAAUGUAUGCUGAUGGUGUUGGUAAAUGUUUAAUACUUCAGUCUGUGUGAAGUAAACAAACAUGAAUAAGGAACUUGGAGUAUAAACACGUUUAAUCUUUGCAAGAUGUUAUUAGGUGUAUAUGAACAACUGUAGUAGAUGGUGUCUGUAGGUAAUUGCAUGGUGUCACAAACAGUAGUCUGACAUGGCCGUUGCCUUUUCU